AUAGCACCCCCAAUCCUCUCUCUCUAGUUCGACUCAGACUCUCUCGUCGCUCCUCACUCUCUCUCUCGUCGCUCCUCACUUUCUCUCUUUACCCCCCUCUUUCUCUCUCUAGCUCGACUCAGACUGGUCUCUCCUCGCUCUUCAAUGGAGAGCUUGAUCUACCAAAAUUAUACUACGAACACAGUCCCCGUUGGAGUUUGAUUUGGGAGCCAAAUCCACAUCUGAUUCGCCAAAACAGGCCAACAAUCAUCGACGUUAUCUCCAUUUUUGUCCACUGCAAUUUCUUCAAUCGCAUUGCUUAUAGUUGCCACUUUAAGGACACAAAUAUGGAUAGGAGUUGGAUUCAUACGUCAAGGUACAUUUUUUAGAAUAUUCUUCCUUCCAUUUUAUAUGGUUUAUAAGCUUAUAACACAUGUUUAACGAGUUAACUUUUCUUAUUUUUAUUCCGUGUUCGGUAAUAUUAGAGUGAGCGAAGACUACGUAGAAGGAGUUGGAAACUUUUUGGAUUUUGCAUUUUCUAAUGCAGCUAAAGAGGGGAUGAUCUUAUGUCCAUGCACUAAGUGUAGUAAUUGCUUUUGGAAGAAUCGUCAAGAAGUAUUAAAUUAUGUUAUUGUAGAUGGAUUUCUUAAUAAUUACACAUGUUGGGUGUUCCAUGGGGAGAGAAUCCCUUCAAGAGAUCUUAAUAACGUAAUAGAGCAUGAGGACUUAGACCUACAAGAUGACUUACAAGGGAUGUUGCAUGAUGCAUUUGGAGUUAGAAGUCCUAACGAUGAGUGGAUGAUCCGAUGUAUGACCAUGAGCACAUCCCACAACAAGUGGCCUAUUAUUCUGAUCCCAUACAAUGUGUCCUAGAAGAUCUGCAUGAAGCAACCAAAUUUCAUCAUGUCACUACUCAUUCCAGGACCUCGAUGGCCAGGAAUUGAUAUUGAUGUGUAUUUAUAACCUUUGAUAGAAGAGUUCACGGAAUUAUGGGAGGUUGGUGUGGACACAUUUGAUACAGUAAGUAAUGCCAUGUUUAAAAUGAAAGCAGCAGUGCUUUUGACUAUUAGUGAUUUUCCAGCAUCUACAGACUUGUCUGGGUGGGGUACUAAGGGCAAAUUGGCAUGUCCACCUUGUAACAAAGGACACAAGUUAUUUAUGGUUGGAAAAUUGUCAUAAAUAUUGUUAUUUGGGUGAUCAUCACUUCCUUGAUUCUAAUCAUAGGUUUCGGAGACAAUCCUUCUAUGGUACUCAAGAAUGGAGAGAUCCUCCUAAUUUGAAUUGUGGGAUUGAUGUGUUAGAACAAUUACAAGGUCAAAACAUGACAUAUGGUAAGCCAAAUCGUGAUAAGGAUGGGGAAAGGGGGUGAAAGAAAAAAUAUCAUAUAUAAUUGGAAAAAGAGGAGCAUCUUUUUUGAGUUGGAGUAUUGGAAGUCUAAUUUGAUUCACCACAAUUUGGAUGUAAUGCACAUAGAAAAGAAUGUAUGUGAAAGUUUGGUUGGAACACUUCUGAAUAUAGAAGGAAAAACUAAAGAUCAUCUCAAGGCUCGUCUUAACUUACAAAAUAUUGGCAUAAGACCAUCUCUCCACCCAAUUCAGCAAGGAGGGAACAAGACAUAUUUGCCUCCUGCAUGUUUCUUUUUGUCUGGAGAAGAGAAAUGGAUGUUUUGUACCGUUUUGAAGCAUGUUAAAGUCCCAGAUGGAUGUGCAUUAAAUAUUUCACGAUGUGUGUAUCUCAACGAUUAUAAAAUAUCGGGACUCAAGAGUCACGAUUGUCAUAUUUUGAUGCAACAAUUACUUCCCUUGGCUAUACGAAAGGUUUACCUAGGAAUGCGGCUGCAAGUUUGAUUGAAUAAUGUCGGCUAUUCAGGGAGUUGUAUUUAAAAGUUGCACAUCCUAAGGAUUUCGAGGAGUUAGAAGCUCGAUUUGCACUAGUACUUUGUCACUUGGAGAUGAUUUUUCCACCCUCCUUUUUGACAUAAUGGUGCAUUUGACUGUUCAUGUAGCAAGGGAGGCAAGACUUAGUGGACCUGUACACUAUCGAAAUAUGUAUCCCAUUGAGAGGUAUUUAUUAAUUAUUUGAGGUAAUUAAUUUUCAUAUAAUGUUCUUUGAAUUGUAAUCAAACAUAUUUAAGAUUAAUUCAAUUGUAUACUUAUAGGUACUUAUGUAGACUUAAGGGUUAUGUACGUAAUAGAAGUCAUCCAGAGGGAUCAAUUGUUGAAGGAUACCUAGCUGAGGAAUGCCUAACAUUUUGCUCUAGGGUACUUGCAUGUUGUUGAGACAAGGCUAAGUCGCCCAAUAAGGAAUUUUGAAGGUAAUGAUGUUGACUCAGGUAGAUUUAAAGGGUCGUCCUCUUGGAAAGACUAGCAUGGUUGUGUUGAAACAGAUGAAUUAACACAAGCACAUCGAUAUGUAUUGUUCAACUGUGAAGCAAUUGCCCCAUUUCAGAUGUAAGUUGAUUCUUUAAUGCUAUAAAAAUGUCAUAGCAAUGUCAUUACAUAGUAUGACUUACAAGCCUUAUGUAAAAUCCAGAAAACAUAAAGAUGAAAUUAUGGCAAACAGUCAUAGAGCACGACCAAGGGAAGUACAACGCAUGCAUAAUGCAACAUUUCUGAAUGGUUUAAGAAUCAUGUAAGAAUUUGACAUUGUUGACCUUAAUUGUCAUAUUAGUUUAAUUAUAUAAUUUAACAGGUAGGUGUUGAAUAAUAUCAAGCUUUUCGAGUUCAAGAGAUAGGAACCCUAUUGACGGAGAUGUCGCUUAUUACGGCGUUCUGAAUGAUAUAAUUCAAAUAACAUAUUCUACAUAUUUGAAGGUUGUAUUAUUUAGGUGCAAUUGGGUUGAUGUUUAAAACCAUGGUAGGGGAGUUAAGAAAGAUCCAUAUGGUUUUGUAUUGGUGAAUCUUUCUCGACAAUGUCAUACCGAAUCUUAACCAUUUGAUGAACCUUUUGUGCUGGCAUCUCAAACUGAACAAGUGUUCCAUACACAAGAUCUAGUGGAGCCUGAUUGAUAUGUGGUUACUAAGUUUAAACCACGAGAUUAUUUUGAAGAAGAAGGUGAAGAGGUGGUUGAAGAUUCAGACAAAUAUUGGCAAAGUGAGCCAAAUCACAGUCAGUACUUAGAGGAUUAUGAACCUGAAAGGGAUGAUGAUAUUAGGUGGGAUAGGUUGGAUCUGGUUAGGACCACAAUUAAUACAUCAAUGGUAUUAAAUCGGAGGCCUAGAGUGGAACAAGGAGAUGACAACAUGUCUUCUGAAGAUGAUGAAGAUAUAUAAUUGUAAUUAAAAAGCACCAAGAUGUUACUUCAAUCUUCAAUUCAGUGCUUUGGAACUACUUCUCCUCAUUGACAUGUCUAUUUUCUCUUUCUACACUUCUCCAUUUUAAAACCCUCUCUCUCUCUCCCCAAUAUAUAUAUAUAUAUAUAUAUAUAUAUAUAGUGUUCUGGGUUAUUCCUUUUUCUGUUUUUUAAGUAACAAUUGCAUACACUCUCUCUCACACAUAACUGUGAGUGCACCUGAGACAUUUUGGCUCUCACUUGUUCACUCCAUUACUGUUGAGGUAUAAUAUAUGUUUCUCAUUUAUUCUCUUUGCAAAUAAAUGAAUAGCUCCAUUGUCUAUGUAUAUAGAUUUGCAUGUAUAUGUAUAUGUCUAUAUCUAUAUCUCUGUCUUUAUUUCUUUUAUAUAAUAAGUGUAUGUGGAUUUUGAUUACUAAAAGAAGUAAGAUAACAAUACAAGGAAAAAACAUUCUAAAUAACAAUUUAUGUGUUUUAAAAUUUUUAUAUUUUAAUUUAUUUUGGCAUUUGGAAGUUUAAUUAUAGUGUUAAGACAACUUAUAAAUGAUGUAACAUUUUCCUCAUUAAGGCUUUAAUUCUAUUUACUUUUGUUCAUAAAAUGGUAAGAUGUCUACUUAAGCCGCAAUGCUUACAUGCUUUUGUUUGGUUGGCAGGAAAGUUUUUCCUUCUUUUUUCUCAAAUAUUGUUGAACUUAUCUGAAUAUAGCUUUUAUUACAAUGUUUAAUCCUCUUUGUUAUAUUCAAAAAAUUUAAACAUGUCAUUCUUAUAAAAUACUCCAUCGAGAUUUGAAACCUAAGAAUUUGCUUAUAGAUAUUGACAUCAAGGUUCAAAAAUUUCUUUUUCUUUUAUUGAUUUUAGCAAGAAAAGUUGUAACAUUUUCAGGAAAUAUGUGGAGUACUACAAAAGGCAAAUGUACAAAGGGCAACACAUGAGACACUACACUAGCAACCUCAUAUGGUCCAACCAAGUUCUAGUGGACAGUUAAGGCCAUCUCAAAAUUGUAUUACUGCUGAAACUGAAGAAAAUAUGAGGCAUAAUAAGAAAGCCAAAUGUAUUAAGGGUGUCAUGACUAGUGGGGCACAACAGUCACUUCACCAGCAACGGAUUCAUCAGGUUGGCUCCAUGCAAACACUGUGAGAUAUAUUUUUGUAAAUUGUUAUAUUUCGGUAACAAAACAAGUUCUAGUCGAGUUGUGAAUUCAGUUACCAUAUCAAACUCGACAUCGACUGCGGAAUUGGAAGUUUGUUCAGAAGAGGAAAGUACUUUUGAUCAUUGAAAAGGCAAGAACAACACAUUAGGACUUCGUUUCCUACUUAAGACACAAAUACUUAUAUGGUAUAUUUUCAGAGUUCCAAAAAUACAGAGAAUCCAAGUUCAAGUGGAUUCUGUCAAGUGGGAACCGGUACUUGAAUUUGGGAACCGGUUCUAGAAGCUAAGAUUCGAGAACAACUCUCUGUCCUUUGGGAACCGGUACCAAGAUUGGGAACCAAUUCCAGAUGUCCUGAUUGCAAAAGGUUUACAGCUUCCUUGUUCUGUUUGAUUCCUUUUUGAUCCAACUUUCCUUUCUAAUCCUAUGCAUGAAAUUUUCAUUAUUUUCAAAAGGAAUAGGACUUUACAAACCUCUAUAUAAACCAUGUCAUAUACAUUGGUUUAUUUACAGAUUUUGAUCUACGAAUUCAUUAUUCUUAAAAGCCUUAGGAAGAUUAUUUUUGCAGAAAAUCAGAGUUGAAUUUUUUGACAUCUUUCUAGAACACAUACACAUAAACACACAGAGUUUGUGAGUUUAGAGUUGUGGUAUUCAAAUCCUGAUCGUGAUCAUACAGUUGCAUCUACAUCGAUCAGAUGAAAGCAGAUCUACUUCUACAUCGAAUUAAGACGAUUAAAGAAUAGAAAUAAAAGCAAUCACACUUUGAAAGGGUUGGAGUAUUCAAGGAGUGUUGUCUAAUCUACCUGCUACUCUUCUACAAAUAUCAAGCAUAAGCCUGAGGUCAAGUUGCUGUUGGACGGGGAGUUACAAAGCCAAAGAAUUGUCAGCAGUUGGUGUUUAGUAGAACGAUAGGGUGUGAGCCAGAGUCAAAAUUCGGUAUACUUUGUUUCAAGUAUAAUGGAUUGGUUUACUUUAGACUGCACAGUUCAUGAGGUUUUUCCUAUAACAGUUGACGUAUUUUAUCAACUGGGGUUUCUUCGCUAAAAAUCAUGGUGUCAUCUCUAACUUUAUACUUUAUUUUAUUUUAUCUAUAUAUGAUUAAUUGUUUAAUUGGUGCCCUGACAUAAGGGGCAGAUCUGAGGAAGAUUGUACGUUUGUUGCUUUUAAUGAAUUGGGGCAGCCCAUUGAGGAAAAAGGCAAAAUUUGGUUAAUUUCUGGGUACUACAGAAUAGAGCAGCGAGCUACUACCCUUACAUUUUACAGAUUGGAGGAAUUUACCUGAUCUGUUUAAAGAGGAGGUCUGUAAAAUAGUCUUGGAAAAGUUUUUUACUCCAGAGUAUGCUAAAUCAUGGGUACUGAAAUCGAUUGGUAGGAAAUGGAGUAAUUUUAAAUCUAAUUUGAAGAGAAAGCAUUACAAGAAAUAUGCGACAGAUAUAGAGCGACAGAUAGAUCGUGAUGAUCAAGUUCUGCCAGAGCAGUGGUAUUACCUAAUUCAAUUUUGGAACUCAGACAAAGGACAGGAGCGUAGCAAUACUAAUACCAUCAGUCGUUCUAAGCAAAAAUAUAAUUACACAGAAGGGUCAAAAAGCUUUGCCGAAUACGCGAGGAAGAGCGUAAGAAGAGGCCUAAUGGAGAGGAACCAACUCGGGCAGAGAUGUAUAUACUAGCGCGCACGUUGAAGAAUGGACAACCAAUGGAUGAAGCAUCUGCAAAAAUUAUUAAAAAGCUUAAAGAAUAUGCAACUCAGCAACCAAAAACUUCACAACAUGGUGCUGCUAGAGAUGACAUCUUUUCCCAAGUUGUUGGGGAAGAUAGACGUGGCCUGGUUCGCACAUAUGGCUUGGGUCCCUCUUCGUCAGAUCUGUGGGGGGGCUGUGGUAAGACUAUUUUAAGCCUACCAAAAAAAUUAAGCCAAAAUAACAUUACUAUUCAUUAUAUUCAUACAAAAAAUUUUAGGCAUUGAUUUUUAAUUUUUUUGGAAAAUAAUAUUGGUUGAAAUUGAUUAUCUAUUCCACUAUUAGGUCUU